GCUAGAGCAUUGUCACCUCGCUGGUUUCUCUAAUCAUCAUCAAACAUGUUGGUAUGCCAUGCCUUUCAACUUCUUGAACUUAAAAGAGAUGAUCUUUGACGACCAAGAUGAAACCCUUAUUAUCGUAAAGUAAGAGCCUCUAAGAUGAAGGGCAUAACACAGAAUAAUAGAAACAAAAUAAUGAUAAUUGAUUGGUCUUGUUCACAGGGACAUUGCAAAAAGCAAGACAAACAAAACAAAACGAGAUGCAAGAAAGGAAAAAAGCUUAUUAAUUUAAUUAAUAGCGAGUCUUCUUCUUCUUUGUGCUUGUUGGUUCGUCUCUUCUGCUCCUCUUUCCUUUUUGAAUCCUGCAGUUUGGUUGAUCUGCACUAAACUAGGAACAUAAGAGCAAGAAGUCACAAGUGGGCAGCAAUUCUGAAAGUGGCUGAAGUCGAGAGCUCCUGGUAUGUGAGGCACAGCUUCUCCAAGAUGCACUUUUUUAACGUAGCCAUUAUCACCAAUGAUGUAAGCUGCGUCCUCAUGGCGGGUCGCUUCAGAUGGGUCAAAGUGAAUAACCACGGCGACUUUCUUCUCCUCGUCAAUGAAGAAACUGCCACCGUAAAAGUUAAACAUAAAAUGAGAACCAUAGUGUGGUUCCAUGUCAACUUUUAAGAAAGGGUACCACGACACUGCAUUGGGCUCAAUCAUAGUUGUAACCCAAAGUUCCACCUCUGUUCUAUCCUCGCACUGAUUUAAGGCCGCGAGUUUCUGGUCCCCAAGAGAAGCGAGAGCUCCAGCAUCGAAAUCAUCAUGGUGCUGAAACGGCAGAGGAAGAAACUGUCCAAAGCUCUCCGCCGUAAAAUCAAAACAGAGUAAAUAGUUUGGCUGCACUGGAUACUCUACAUCAUCUUCGUAUACUAUUUUUUCCUUGGCAAUAAAGUAAGUGUUUCCUUUCAAAGAAACGCCGCGUUGAUAAGGCUCCACAUCACAGUUGAGAGUGAUAUCAUCACAGUUGAGAGUGAGAUCGUCUUCAUUGUCUCGAAUUGAAAAGAAGAAAAUCGGCUAGGGUUCUCUCUAACUUUGCUUGCCCAAUCUCUUUAAGCGUUCAGAAAAAAAAAAAAAAAUCAGUCGAACCCUUAAUGGUUUUUUUUAGUGGCUUUGUAAAAUUGUUUCGUUUUGGGCUUUUACCAAUCUUCGGACUAGCCCAUAUUAUUAAACAAAAAAAAAUUCAGAAAAGUAAGAAACUAACUGAAAUAAAAUGCAAAUCCGCCGAACCAACAUUUGAUUCGUCAAUGUCUUUUACGUCCAAACCGAACCAAAACAUUUUAAAAAAUACAUUCAAACUAAAGCCCUCCUUCCUUCGUAUCCUUUGCUUAUCGCCUAUGCAUCUCUCCCUAAUAUGGUACAAAGAGUAUUUCAAACAAAAUCUCAUAAGCAAAUCCAAAAGUUUUAAACUCUAAAAUCCACUCAAACCAUAAUAAGUCAAACAACAACAACAACAAAGAAGCAAACAACAACAACAAUAGUCUUCAAGACACUAAAACUGAAAUUAGGAAACAACAUAACAGACACUACUAGCAAUACCAAUAAUAAUCCCAAGCCAUUACAUCAAACCAAGGCUUAUUACUUAAUCUGCCUCGGCAUAAGCAGUUUCGAGAUGAGCUUGUUCGGCUUCUCUAACUUCUUUCUCAGUCUUUCUUCCUUUCUUCGACUUGUAGUAAACACUCAUGAACGUUCCAACAGCUCUAUACUUCUUGCGGCACUCCUCAUACAAUUCACCAUUAAACAUUCUCCAGAAGCUCUUCUCGUCGAGCUCAGACACCGCGUACUGAGGCUGGAAUCCAUGGUUCUCAAUCAGCCAUUUCUCCAUCUUACGCACAGCUUCUGAUCCAUCAAACUCUUCACCUCUUAGGACAGGUCCAGGUGCGUAGUAGACUCCAACAUCAGUGUACAUCUGUCCAUCUUCUGUGUCUCCUUGUCUGUUUUCGUACUCAAAGCCUGGCUCUGGGUAGAUCUGGCCUUUGAUUGGCUGCUUGUAGAGUUUGUGUGGGCAAAGCCAAAUUGGAUACACCUGAAAGAGAACAAACAAUUCAUGACUUUGUUAAUAACAACAUCUUUAACUAGAAGAAGAAGAUGAUCAAACAUGAAAAAGAGCUUUUUAGUUUUACCUCCAUUUCGCGGUGAACCCAUUCGAGGGCAUCGCCAACCUUGUAAAGAGGAACAAGCAUGUCCUGAAUAACAUGCAUAUCAUGGUAAUAGUUCCUGAUAGCUUCACCUUGAGUGGCCUUAAGAAGAGAGACCUUUGGAGGCAUCAACCAACCUAAGAGGUACCUAAACCAGAACUGAUCACCAAAUGGAAGAAUAAGCUUCCCUUCCCAGUACAAGCACCUUGUGUGCCUGUGGUAGUAUUCACGAGUUGGUAUGUACUCAACAAACUGUCCCUUUUUCAGAGCGGUCUGCGCGUGCUGGUAGAACCACGGCUUGAACCACCAUCCCACAUUGUUGAUUUUGUUUCCUUUCUUCUUCGCCUCUUCUUUUGAUGCGUAUGUCCCAACCAUCAUCACUCCUUCCGUCGGGUUGUAAACCAUGCCUUCCACGAAAUCCGGGAUUUUCGACUUGUCACCGUCUUUGGGCGCGAAAGAAUCAAUGUAACCUUGAGCUAAGGCUUGAAGAUCUCCCUUGACUGGUAUGUAAGUGAGUCUCAUGUACUCCUUGAUUUUAAUAAGCUUGAUCUCAGCAGCUACAAGGAGUCCAAGAGUUCCUUGCGACCACGGGAUUGCGUAGAAAAGAUCGGAAUACUCAUUAUCCUUUGUGGCACGGACAAGUUCCCCACCCGCAAGAACGAUCUCGUAAGCCUCAACGGUAUCCGCAAACAAACCGUGGAUGUGAGAGCUUCCUUCAAUACCAUAUCCAUUGAUGAGUCCACCAACGGUAAGGUCGUCAAGCUCAGCAACAACAGCGAGAGACAGGUUCAUUGGAACGGUGGCACGGGAAAUCUGUCCCAUGUUGACAAGAGGCUCCACUCUAGCAAUCAUCUUCUCCUUGUUGAUCUCAAGGAUGUUACGGAACUCGCCCAAGUCAACCUCGAAAUGGCGGGCUCUCUUGUAGUCAACGUUCCUCAUUCCCACGGCGAUCCACGGCUUACGAGCAGUGCAGACAAGCCCGUCCUUGGCAGCAUCCCUAUUCUUAAGCCUUUUGAUGACUUUCUUGACAUUCUCGUCGUGUUCCUUCUGGCGUUUCUCAUAUGACUUGGACUCGGACCACAUGUCCCCGAGGUAGAUGAGGAAAUAGAAUGUGGCUGAGAAUGGAAGGACGAUGAAGAUAACAAUGAUCCAUCGGAACUUGACAAAGUAAUCAACCCACGUCUUCUUCCUCUUGGGCCUCACAAGCGGUGUCUGAAGAUCCGACAUUUCCUCUCCUCACUGCAUCAAAACAAAUCGCUGUAAGUAAAUAAAAAAGAAUGCUCAAAAUCAACCAAACUUUGAGAGAUUCAAAUCCAUCACUGUAAAACUCAACAACAAGGCUCAAGAAAUGCUCAUAAUUAAAUCUGCCAGAAUGUCAAAAAUACUAUAAAGUUAAUUUCUUGAAUCCAUAAACAGUAUAAUAAGCAUACACAAUCAAUCUGUAAGAAGUAUCUAGUGUGGAGUCCAUGGAAACAAUGAGCUAGUGAACAGAAAGACAUGAAGUUCUGUUCUGAAAGGACAAGAAAACGAAGAAAGUGGUUCUAAUCUUUAGAUCUAUACAACUAGUCUUUCUACAAAGCCAUCAAAGUCUGUUUUCAACCACAACGAAAACUCUUGUUGAGCAAAGUUUGAAACUUUGUUUGAGAUUCGAAGACUAACAUGGUUGAAAUUCAAAACCCACAUAGUUCACUAGUGGUAUGAAGCAACUAUGAACCAAGUUCUGAGAGAUCUAACUAACGACAGAAAAAAAAGAUAAGUAAGCGACUGAGACAGAGAGAAAAAGAGAGGUAGAGAGAGUACCUGAAGAAUCCAAAGGAGAGAGAGAGAGAGUGGAGAGGAUGAGAUGUGAAAGUGUCCCCAAGAGUGAGAGAAGAUUUGUCUUUAUAAAUAAAACGUGAUUCAAGCCAGCCUGCUUCACUUGCAUUUUUUGCUCAAAACAAGGUAUGGAUUAUUUCCCAUUUGUUCUCUAUAAUUAAAAAGAAAGUAAGUAAAAUAAUCUCGCAAAAAAAUUAUAAUAUUUAGAAAUAUAUUAUGUAUGUUUUUUAUGUUUUCGGUUUUAGUUGUAACGUUAUACAUCACUAUAAUAUUUAGGAGAGUUUUUUUUUUUUUUUACUUUUAGAAUUCUGAUGAGAGUCAGACACAUAAAAAAUAAAAAAAAACAUGUCUCUUUGUCUAGAAAAUAUCAUGACUUAAAAUCAUAAAAUUUAUGAUUUCAAAACAAUCUUCGAAUAAUAUUUUUUUUACUGAUAUCAAUAUUUUACAAUUUUUAAUCCAGUAAAUCAUUCUGAGAUUCUCAAUAUAUUAAUAAAUCAUUCUAAUUUUCUCAAUAUAUAUUUUCCCAGCUCUGUUAAAAUUUAGAAACUAUAUAGGUGAAUCGUACCUAGACCUUAAUUACUAUAAUAUCUUCAAAAGUAUAAUUUCUUACUUAGCAGUUAGCAUAUAUAAGGAAUAUGAGGACAAAUUCUUUGUAGGGAUAUAUUUCUCUGAAAAUAGUUACUGCUAUAUAUAGGUAACAUAAACAAAAAAAAAAAGGCAAAAAAUCCUAGCAGUUUCAAUUUCUUUUAAAUAGGUAAAUUACCUCCAUUUAGAAAAUACCACUUUCUUUUGGUAUAAAUCACAAUAAAUUACAGGAAUACAAAAAUAAGAAGACAUGUGCCCAAUGAAGGAAAUAUAUUUGUCAAAUUUGUUUUUUCUAAAUGCAUUUUAAGGGUUGAUUGGAUUGAAUUUUAUUUUCUAAAUGCUUAGUGAAACAGUCCUAUAAAUGUUUGUUCAUGUACCUAAUGCAUAUUCCAUCAUCGUGAGGUUAAUAUUGUUUUUUGGCUACAAGUUUAUCACAAUAGUUACAACAAUAAUCUAAAAUAUAUAUUUUGUAUUUUUGUUUUGAUAUUUUCUAUACAGGUGACAGUGGUGGAGAUGUCAUGAUCGGAGCAAAAAGCACUGUUUGAUAUAUCUUGAAAACAUUAGACAAAAAUCGUAAGAUUCUAUCAAUCAGGAAUGACUAAUGAGAGCUCCUUAUAUAAAUAUUUCUCAUUAAGUCUUUUCACGUUUGUAUUAUACUUCACAAAUAAUAUGUGUUAGCCAGUUGUGGUUAAUUCUAUAUAUAGAUUCAAAUGUAGUAUUUUUUUAAUAUAUAGAAUAUCUCUUAUUUAAAUUGAAUACUACACUUGUGAUGAGAAAUGUUUUCACAGUAGCCAUGAUUUUCAUCAAAUUCAUAUAUGAAAGUUAUUGGUACCAUUAUCAGUGCCUACAUAAUGAUAAACAUAGAAACUAUCACGUUAAUUGGUUAAAAAGGUUCUCAAUAUAUAAUUCUAUAACCAAUGAUUUAAUUUCCACCUAAAAUAUUUUAACAAUUGAUUUAGUAGAGCAAAUAGAAUAGUAUCCACUUGAACUUUUUACUUGGUAAAAUCAUGACUUUUUUAGAAAAAUGGUUACACUUUAAACUUUAAAGUAAUGAAUUGCUCAAAAAGUUUUUUUUGUCACCAAAAAGUAAUUAAUUAUUUAUUUGAAGUAGAAAAGAAAAAAAAAAUAUUUACAGGGAUGAUGGCCUGUCUGAGAAGGAUAUCCAGCUCUUGCAAAAUCUCAUAUAAACUGUAUUUUAAAAUACGCCAACCAUUUACAACUACAAAUCUUUUUUAUAUAAUAUGGAAAAGCAAAUUUCUAUUUGGCGAAUCACACUUUUUGACUUUGACGGUUAAAAUUUGGUUCACGGUUGACACGUUUUUUAACAGUUAAAAGGUCAUAUUGUGUAUACAAAGUACAAACAUAUAUAUAGACAAAUUUAGAAUGUCGAAAUUAAUUGGUAAGUUUAAGUUAUACAGUAAUUCAUAAAAAAAUAUCCAUUACUCUUUCUUUUUAAAAAGCUUUGGCAUUGCAACAAAUGCAAGCCUGUCUGUAAGGGACACCAAUGUUUACAUUACAAGAAACACCAAAAUUUGUUUAUAUAUAUAUAUAUCCAAAUAGAAAGACAUUACUAUUUGGUCCAACGCCAAAUAAACCCAUGCGUCAUUUCUGCAUCAACAAAAACCGUCUUUGUCCAUUUAAACUUUACGUUUUUUAUAUAAUUCGUAGUUCCAUUAUUACAAAAGAAAAAAAAAAAAAGUGUGAAGAACCGAGAGACAACAACCCACAUAAAUUAUGAUUUGUGAAGAUUGGAGCGUAUAAUAACUAAACACUUCUCUAAGAUUCUAUUUUUCUUUCAGUUUCUAAAGGAAAGAAAGACUAAUAAUUGUAUUGAAAAGAUCUUACAUUAUUAUUGUAGUAAAGAGAUAGUGAAGUCAAAAAUGCAAGAAAGGAUAGGUGAAAGAAAAAGACAAAAGAGAACGGAGAAACCGAAGAAGAGAGAGUUGAACAUAACAAACCUAUAAACGAGGACUGUCCUACUCCACAUGUGCCUGACGUGAUCUCAACUCCUUCACGUGAUUUCUCUUCCUUUUUUUUUGUAAUUUUAUUCAUUUUCUCUAAUUAAUCUCCAUUUUUAUCACUUAUUAAUCCCUUUGUAUUAUUCAAUUUUUGUGUUCUGCCACUUCUAUUGUAUUACUAUUCUUGCUAAGAAAGAGAGGGGAAAAAAUCACUUUGUUUAAUGCACCCACGAUCCCGUUUAUAUUUUAAAUUGUUUUACCUUCUGUUUGAUUGCAUGUACUUAACUUCUUAUAAUAAGUGUAGAUCUACUCUUAACGUGCAAUUAACUAAUAGUCUAAUACAUCUGGAACACAUUAAAUAAAUUUGUUAGUAGCAUUCUUGUUUAACAUUAUAUAUAUAUAAUCCAUGAUUUUAGCAGUAACAAUCAAUUAUUCCAAAAACAGAUCGUUAUGUUUUCAGUGGCUUUUCAUUAGACGAUACAUUGUUACCGUACUCAAAAAUUUAACGUAAAUGGUGUGUUACUUCAACAAUCACCAUUGAAAAGAAAUCACUUUUCUAACAAUAUAUUAAGAAAAUGACCAGAAUUUGAGACUUUCUUGCGCCUUUGGCUUAGUUCCCUGAAAAUUAACCAUAGUCCAGUUUUAGUAACAGCAACAAAAUUGCUAAACUGAUCCUAAAGAGAAAUGCGAUCCAUGCACUACACACUUUUAUUAUAAUAGUUGCUAAACACAAACGCCAAAAAAAGAGCCAAGUUCUUUUCCUUUGUUACGGGUUGUGAAACACUAUUUCUAACCAAAUAAUGCAAUGAUUUUUCGGGCAAAAUAUUGUGAAUAGAAACCAGUUAGAUAGGUGAUGGGCUAAUAAGUAUGAGUUGAUUGGGAAGAAAAGAGACUAGCUAUUUGAGAGCCAUGAAUAACUUUAACAUCUCCCUAACAUGAUCAAGCAAAAUUUAGUAGCCAAGAAACCAGCAAAAGAAAAAGAAAAAAAACAGAAAGAUGAUAAAUGUACCUUGUUUAGGCUCUGUGCAUUAUCUCCAUGAACUUUUUGUUGCUCCUCCGGAAAGGCAUAUCCGUGGCAGAAUGUUACAGUUGUUGUAUCUAACUAGAAGAAGGAACAAAAAAGGCUAAGUGAAAAAAUCAUUACUACUUCCAAGUAUGAACUUCCACCAAGAAUUCCUGAAGAACACUUUUCUCAAGCCUACAAGUUAGUGACUGCUAAUAGCAGGUGUCUUCGUGCAAAUGCAAUGUGUUAAGGAAUUCUUUCAGAAAAAUAAACUCUCUUUAUUUGAAUAGAGAAUAAAAUUUUCGUGUACUAUAACAAACCAUUGGUAUACACGUUGGUCACAGUUGUAAGAGAUUGGGUGAAAAUGAAAUGGACCCUAAAACUUUCUGCCGCCAAUAAGCGCCACUCUUCUACAUGCAUACAACAGCAUUAGAAUGUAAACACAAAACUGAGACCUCGUUAUAAGCUAUCUCUGAGGCCGAGAAGAGAAAAUUAACAACCCUGCCAUUACAUAAAAGGCUUUGGUCAGUCAAUCAACAAUGGGACACUAAUAAAUACAAAUAGCAGAACAGGACUAUGUCACAUUAGUUGGUUCUCAGUAUCGUCUCUAUUACAGAAACUUUGGUUCAUCAUUUUCAACUUACAUAGUUUUAUCUAAGUGACACCUAUUUUUUGAUUAAAAGUAUAAACAUAAAAAGCCAAAACAAAAACUACACCCAGCAUAAAUCCAGUGAACACGGUACAGUGAUUCCAGAAAAGAUUGAAAGGCGGAUUCUCAACUAUAUGCAGAAAUUCCGGGAGUAUAUCUAUUCAAGUGAAGUCAACUGAUAUUGGCAAGUGGCAAACCAUAGGCAUGACUUACAAAGUUUCAUUUCGAGGUUCAGAGUUACUGUGGCAAAAGAAAUCGCAAGAAUCCAUCCAACACCAUGUUACGGGUUGAAGAAACUUGAGCCGCCCAUGUUGAUAGCAACGAGCGCCAGUACAGAAGUGAUUACACCGAACCACAACAAUGCUAAUCCUGAAAUUAACAAAGCUUAACGGUUCAAAACCAUGGAAACAAAAUCAUAAUAAGAUAGAGCCUCGAUAUACCUCCAUCAUCAAUAGAACCUCUAUCAGAAUUCGCGCUUCUCACUUCCAAACCUGAUAUGUCCCCAUUGCCAGCAUCUUUUGGUCGAGAUUUUGAGUCCGCCCCAGCCUUUGAAGGAACAGGUGACACGCUUGAUUCACGAUCAUCAACUUUAUUGUUCCCAGCUUCUGAUGAAACUAUGCCUUGAAAUUCCUCGCUCAAAAUCAAUGCAGACAACACGUUCAUAAAUGACUCUUGACCAAUAUCAUCAGAAGGAAUCUUGUCAUUCUGCACAAAUGAGCUAGGUUCUUCCGAAUCAGACAUUUCAUCAUCGGAAGCAUCUGCAUAAAUGGCUUUUGCAUUGCGUUUAUCAUCUUCUUCAUCCUCCACAUAUGCUUUGUAUGUAAGCCGGAGUAGUAUUUCUCCAGUAGAUCCCUUUCCGAACAAACUCCAACCGCCUUGCAAACUAACGAAUCUGUCUGUAGGAACCGUAUCUGGCAGUGAUUCGAGGUCAACCUGGAUGUAUAAUCAAAGUAACAAGAUUAUGAAGACAGCAAAUUUGAUAUUCGGCACUAUUAUCCUGGUAAGUUAAGUAGAGAUUAUAGUGACAAAGUUAUCAGAGCAGAGGCUGACUACUCAAACUACAGCACCAAUAAAUAAUUAUGUGUUGUCAGGUUUUUGUGCAGAAACAUGUGAAUUGGUUGCUUAGUAGCUGAAAAUUGGAAUUGUGCUAAGAAUAGCUAAGUGAAUAAAGGUGCCCUUUGUAAUAAUGACAAGAAGAUCAAUAACCGAGAGGGUGUGUAACCUGAACAAACUAUUCAAAAGAGGUGUGACAUGCACAAAUAAAACCAGGUAUUACUGAUACAGCGAAAGCAUUGCCAUUGCAGCAACUAAUUGUGCACUCACUGUUUCUCUUACUCAUUCAAUCACAUAGUUUUGACAUCAUAAAUUAAAAGCAAGCUGCUAUCUCAUUAGUAUUGGUGCUAGUUCUCAGUCUCAUCUUCUCAAUUCAAACCCUUUAGCUGAGAUAUUGUACAGAGAAUAACAGGAUGGAACUAGGUUCUUGUAUUAUGAAUAACAAACAAGAAAAAGCUUGACACUGAAGUAGAUGAUCAUCUUAAGAAAUCAUUUCUGUUAACAUAUCAAGCUAUUCUUCUGCAGAUUUCAAAUGGGAUUAAAAGAAAGAUGAUUUACCUCUCCGAUACCAAUAGCCAUAUCGGCAAAUCCAAGACAGUCGUUGACUUCAAUUUGUAAUACUUGCUCUCUAGGAUUUGAAACAAGGAAUUGGAAGUCCUGACCAUAUAUAUGAAUUCAGCAUAUACUAUAAUUCACAAUCAGAUUAUGAAUAAGCCAUUAAGAUAUAUUGAGCAGUUCAACCUGAUUCCAGAUUGGCUGACCAGGAGCACCAAACACAGUAGUUUGACUGUUCUUCUUACUGCGGAUAACUUGAUCACCUAUUCGUAAAAUAACAUAUGGAUCCGUUCUACCUGUUACAAUAUCAAAGAACAUGUGCUGAAUGAAGGAACUUGUAAAUGAUGAAGAAUUCACUAUAUGUGAUAUAAGCAUUAGUAUAGAGGUUCUUACUGCUCAAAGAAUUCAAAGAUACUUAAGGGUAUAUAUAGAUAAUACAACAACACAGACUGCUAGAGAACAAUGAACUGAAGAAGAAGAAAGCUGAGGAGUGAGUAUAACUUACCAGAGAACAUGUAUGGAAGUUUCUGGGCAUUUACAAGAGUAACAGACAGUUCCCCUACAAAAUCCUUGUUCCCUUCCUGCAUUUCUCCAGAUUUUAAGUCUUCUGAAACAGGCCCAACAGCUUUUCCUUUCUGGAAAUCCAAGACAAUUUUCUUUGGGCGGACAAAUAAUCUAGGCAAAUCCUCUGUCAGCAGUUUGGUCAAGAACCUGAGAGAGAUGAAGCAAAGGAAGGAGGAAAGAAACUGAUAUAUCAAUACAUCGAGGAGAGUAAACAAUCAACAGAGAGAAAAAGCUAAAACGUAUACAUCGAGGAGGCUUACAUUGAUAACACAGGAAUUCCUGAUGUUGUCAUCGAAAGCAUUCAUGCAAAACGAAGAAAUUGAUUUGAGCUAUUACUAAUGUACAUCAUUUUAAAAUCAAAGGAGUUUUUGAGAAAGUAACAGAAAGUUAUGAUUAACCCAUACCCAUUAGAUUAAACAAUCGGAAUGGAGCAAGCUCAAAUUUGAUCUUUGGGAGUGAAACAAACGCCCAUGAUGCUGCUCCAACCCAAGGUGCUGACGGAAUCAAUCUUAAUUUAACCCAUAGUUCACCGUCAAUGUCAAAAUCCCGAAUACCGACUGGCACGACUACUGGGAUGAUACCAAAUUUUAAAGAGAGCAUUAACAACAUCCGAGCACCACCAGUAUAUCGAAGACCAAUCUGGUACCUAUAAGAAGAAAAAUGAGAGCAUAAGGAACCUUCAAUUUAGCCAUGAACAGACUGUUUGGAGUACCCAAGCUCCAAACGAACCAACAGAGUGAAAAAUUCCAAGAUGCAGUGAACAGUGGUGUAUAGCAUCCGUAGGAUUCAUGACCAAAAAAGUCACUAUUGUAAAACUUACUAUACUAUUGAAUCGAAUUUUUGUUUAAAAGUAAAAUAAAACUCAUCAGAAUCUUCGUUGGUGUGGCAAACAACAACAACAGAAACCAAGUCAGAACAAUCCCACCAUAAGAUCCACCAACGCUAUGCAUAAGUUAUCUAACAUAUGAGAGAGCAAGUAACGUAGGCAAUAGCACCAAGGUAUGAUAAACUUACUGCAAGUCAUUAACACGGCGAGAUGUUCUCCUCUCAACAUUUCUAACAGACAAAGGCUCAUCCCCAAGAGAGAAUUGCUUAAUUUCAACUCUCUGCACAUAAUCUGGCUUCUUCAAGUCAUCAAUGACAGGCUGCAACAAUCCAACAAGCCAAUUCUCAAUCCCACCUCUAUAAACUUUCCAGAGCUUCACCAACACCAUGUUGACCCACUCCACUGACUCUUUCCUUUGCAAAUCCUUCUCAAGGGACAGCGAGAAGCUAGUGGGAACUUGUGCCCAUGGCCGGGCUCCUCUUUGGCCUCCCUCAUCACCGCUGGUUUGUCUCCGCCGCUUUCUCCAAGUCCAUAGCUUGUCACAAAUAACACCAACAAAGAAGAAGAAGGCGAAUAAACCAAUCGCAUUACGACUAAUCGGUGGCGAGGGGAUUGGAUGGAUUACACCUAGGUGAGUCCUGAGCUUAUCCACUAUAGGGUCUUCUCUAAAGUUAGUGAAACUGUUUCGAUCACCCUGAAUUGCAGACUCCUGUGAAGAUGAAGAUUCUUCUUCAUCCUCGAAUUCAUUCGAAAAACGAGUAACCACAAGACUUCUUGCAGCUCUUCUCGCUAAUCCAAUGUUCAUGGAAUCCGUACGGCUUCCGCUGGAAACAAACCUGGAAUUGGCAUUCGCCGCCUGAACUCGACGGAGAAUUCUCCGCCUCUUCGCGAAUCCAUCGCAGAACACAAUCAGAGCGUGCUCAUUGGAGCAAGGGCAGAGCAAACGACGUGGCACAAAAGAAGGGAAAUCGAAAGUAGAACAAGAAGAAGAUUGUAGAAUCAUUUAUCAUCAAUCGAAGUCACCGGAAACUCCACGCGGGUGAACCUAAUUGACGCAUAUCUCCGCUGUUAAAACAGCACAAGGAAUGGCGAAUGUCUCACAGCAACGUCGUGAACACAGCGAAACCUAAGUCUACCUUAGGGUUUCGGAUAAGAAAUUCGAAUUCGAGAAGGUUCAAAAGGAGUAAGCGACACAAGAAGAUUGGAGAAUGUAGGCGAUCGGUGGAGAGUCUAUCGUCCUGACCUUUUAAUAAGCCAUUUUAUGCUGCUUAUUAUUUUUAUUUUUGUGGAACGCGUUACUAUAUUAUAUGGUUGGUCAUUAUUUCGUUUGUACCAUGUUUAUUUUCCAACUGUUGUUUAUUUAUAGCCUUAAUACGUUAGAAAAUCUUGAGAUGUCGGCGAGCUUUGUAUUGCGUCGAUAUCUUUCCAUGUGGACUCUUCCACUUAUGGGUCGGCGCUCGGUUUACUCGGCCACCCUUUUAUGUCCAUCCAAUUAAAAUUAUAGUGGUAGUGAAAGCAUGUUUUUAAAAAAAUCAGGAGGGAGUGACAUGAGCUUUUACCGCCGACUAAUCUUUUAAAAUGAACUCAGUUUCUUUUAAAUGUAUAUAUUUUCAGAGAUAUUUUCUUUUUUUCUAAUAUUAUUGUAUAUUAAAUCAUUUUAACAAUGUUUUUUGAGACUUUCUUAUCAUUUACAAACUUAUCAAUAAUAACCAUUAUUGACUAAUUUAUGGUGAUAUAAUGGUUGAUUUUGCUUAGUGGUACUGUACUUUAAGUAACAAAGAUAUGCGACAUUUUAUUGACGGUUUAAUAGAAAAUAAAAGUAACAACCAUUUUUUUGGGUGCAACCAUGUUUAUUAUGUGUUGUUUUCUUUUGUCGGAUGUCAAUAACUAUUGUCACUAAAUUGAUUAUUUUCAUCAGUCAACUUUCAAUUUUCAUAUGUUUGAAUAGGCUUCUUAUAUCCUUUUUGAAUCUAAAAACAUGAUCCACGUGCGUAUAACAUUUUUCUUUUCUGUUCGAUCUACUAUUAGGGGGUUCUAACGAGUAUGAAAUUGACGUAGGGGGUGGUCAGAUCACGAAGAAAAAAACUGUUAUUUCAGAGAUUAAUCUUAAAAUAUAAGGUCUUUCCCUAUAAUAAUAUAAAAUAUAUCCGUCCUUUUCCCCCGGAACGUAAUCUCAGCCAUCCAUAGUUUCUAUCAUCCUACGAUCUAUCUAACACCGUCGGCUGAACUUCGUUCUCCUAAAUCGCGACAUCAACUACACACUAGUUUUUUUUUCCUAAACCCUAACUUCUUCGUUCGCGUCCACGAAGCCGCCGGCAAUUUCUCGUCGGCGACUGUUACUCGAUACCCCCAAUGGAAGGGGAGAAUACAACGGAGCAGCCGUACACGACGGCGGCAUCUUCGGGACAGAGUAUCUUCGUCCGUCCUCCUCCAAUUGCUCCAGUAUUGGCUACUGCUUCGAAUGUCUCUCAGUCGGAGCAACCCUCUAUGUCUGUAUGUUGCUCAUGCUCAUUUCUGAUUGUUGAGUGCUAAUUUAACUCGUAAAGAAGCUUGAUCUUGGUUCUAGUUCUUGUAUUUUGAUGUGGUUUUGUGUAGAACCUUGUACAAGAACUUGUGGUAUUCUUAGUUUGAAGGGUUCAAUAUAAUUAGAUGAAUUCAUGUCAUUUUACAUAGUGUAUAUACGCCAACACCAGCUAUGAAAAUCUGCCUCUCUUAUUGAAUCUAUCCAAAUUUUUUGAGGGUUUUGAUGAAAUUCACUAAUAGAAUUUCUCAGGAUUCAACCUUGUUUCGUAUAUGCAUUGAACACAUGCUGAUUCAUCUAUUAUCAGGUUGUUUCCUUUCAGUCUCUAAACUGGUUCCGUGAUUUUUUUGGUUGCUGUUGUGCAGAUUGCUAGUACAGGUUUUGUCUCUCAGUCAGUUCCAUCUUCUGUUGCUGCACAAUGGGCUUCUAAUGCAGCAGCCUCCUCAAAUGUUAAUCCCAUACCUCAAGCUUCGCCCAUGCUAGCAAAUGCACCUUUUGGUCGACCAGGAAAACUCGCCCCUCCUGGACUAAUGACAUCUCCGCCUGCUUUUCCUGGUUCCAAUCCCUUUUCUACUACUCCAAGACCUGGGAUGUCUACAGGUCCUGCUCAAAUCAAUCCUAGUAUUCAUCCGCACAUGUAUCCUCCAUAUCAUUCACUGCCUACAAUGCCUGGAACGCCUCAAGGAAUGUGGUUGCAGCCUCCUCUUAUGGGUGGUAUUCCCAGGGCACCUUUUAUUUCACAUCCUACUACUUUUCCUGGUUCAUAUCCAUUUCCAGUUCGUGGAAUCUCUCCUAACCUACCAUAUUCUGGUUCUCACCCGCUUGGUGCCAUUCCUAUGGGAAGUGUUGGCAAUGUUCAUGCAUUACCAGGUCAUCAGCUUGAUAUAUCUCCCGGGCAAAAGACAGAAGCACUCUCAGGAAUCGGUAUGCUCGAGGUUUCAUGAUAGAUUACUGAUCCAUGUAAGAGCUGUUUGACCUUAAUGGUUAUUCUAUUUAGUUUACAUAUCCUUUAUCAGGAUCAUCUUGUGUUCUGCAGAUGACAGAGCUGGUUCUCAACUAGUUGGAAAUCAGUUAGAUGCCUGGACUGCACAUAAAUCAGAAGCAGGAGUUGUUUAUUAUUAUAAUUCCGUUACAGGGCAUUCAACCUACGAAAAGCCUCCUGGUUUUGGAGGGGAGGUGAGUAUAGCUGAUUACAUGACUUGCUCAUUAGUUGAGACUACGUCUAUACGCAUUCAGUACCACAUCAACCUAUUUUGCUUCACGACAUGUCAUUUAGAAGUUGGUGUCUAUAAUAGGUAUUUGCAUUUUUGGUAUAUCUGAGUUGAAGUUUUACAAUGUCAGAAUUGAUCCAGAUUUUUGUUUUUAAGUCCUAGAUGUCAUAUAUUCAUUAGCUGCUGAAAAAAUUAUUCUUUAUUUUCCGUGCCUUAUAUUGGGAUUGUGAACCUUUGUUGGUAUCCAAAUUUGUUUUACUUAUACUACAAUAGUUGUGAAGUUGCUUAAGAUUUUUGAGUUACUAUAUUGCAGUGAACUUGUUGUAAGAGAAUGUGAAUUGUUACACAAUCCACCUUAAAUUAGUCACAGACGGUCAAUAGAAAUGGCUUGCCAUUUGAUGCUAGUGCAAAAACAUAUGAAGGAUAUUUGUUCGAGUAUACCUUCAUAAUGCAUGCACAGUUUUUUCAUGUUGCCCUAGCCCUUUAGACGUUUUAAGCAAUUUAUAAUCUAUAUUUUUUUCUUAACUUUUGCAGCCUGAUAAAGUGCCAGUGCAGCCAAUUCCAGUUUCUAUGUGAGUUUUUAGAUUCAUAUUUUCUCUGACAAGAUUAGUUGUCGUAUUUUUUAAAAUAUUGGCUUGGUUCUGCGUGGGACAUUAUAUUGUUAUAUUUCCUGUGUAUUAAUCUUUCUACUGGGUCGCCAACAAAUUCAUUCCCAUGAAAUCAACAAAUUUAUAUUGUUGAAUUACUUUGAGCCUGCUAAAAUACUUUGUACCAAAUGUAGGGAGGAUUUACCUGGGACAGAUUGGGCUCUUGUGUCCACAAAUGACGGCAAAAAGUAUUACUACAACAAUAAAACAAAGGUCAGCAGCUGGCAAAUUCCUGCAGAAGUGAAAGAUUUGGGGAAGAAACCGGAGGAGAGGGCUAUGGAGAGUGUAGCAUCUGUGCCAAGUGCUGAUUUCACUGAAAAAGGUUCUGAUCUAUCAAGUUUGAGCGCACCUGCUAUCAGCAAUGGUGGCCGGGAUGCUGCAUCUCUAAAAACUACAAAUUUUGGCUCGUCGGCACUGGAUUUGGUUAAAAAGAAACUACAUGAUUCUGGAGUGCCCGUCUCAUCUACGACAACAUCUGAAGCAAAUGGUGGUAAAGCAAGUGAGGUCACACCAAGUGGAGAAAGUGGAAAUGGUACGGGUAAGAUAAAAGAUGCUCCUGGAGCUGGGGAACUUUCUGAUUCUUCUUCAGAUUCCGAAGAUGAAGAUAGUGGACCAUCGAAGGAAGAGUGCUUUAAACAGUUUAAGGUAUUGUGUAGCCUGGACCUAUGAAUAGUCCUUGUGGUCUUCGUUUUUGUCUUCUUUGACAUAGGGAUUGGUUUAGAUUUCUUUUCUCAUGUUUGUCUUUCUGCAAGUUAAAAUUUAGCCAUAUAGACGCAUCUGAUUUAAAGCAUUCUAGAGAAAAAGAGAAGAUCAUGCAUUGAAAUUUUCCUCUGUUGAUGGUUCUUGUUGGAAUAUUGGAAUGCCGUGGUGCUUUGUAUGAUACAUGCCAACUUCUAGUGGAAAUUUCCGAGUUUGGAAACCUUGAAAUUAUUCAGAUUGAAGUUCGUUUUCUAAUAUCUUGUUUCGUAUUACUUUACCCUUGCAGGAAAUGCUGAAAGAGAGAGGAAUAGCACCGUUUUCUAAAUGGGAGAAGGAAUUGCCAAAAAUUAUCUUUGACCCUCGCUUUAAGGUCUGUCAAGCCUAAAGAUCAUAACAAUAUUUUGAUAUCUUAUCCUGUUUUUAAAUUCCUUGUCUAUUGUUUCUUUCCUUGCAUGCGUUUGCAACUUGUACAUUUCCAGUUAAUUUUAUUUGUGUUGCCCGCAUUGUAACAUCCAUUCGUAUUUGGUGCUCAAAUAGAGCAUAAACAAAACUUUUCUAUAGAUUUUCUAGCUCGGUGUAGAACAAAGAUUACGUACAUAAGGACAUACCUGUAUAAUAUUAUACUCUAUGUUCUUCUCUUUUUAGUCAUCUUUUUACUGCUUUCUUUUUAUUUGAGGAGUUCGUUUUUCUUGCAGGCAAUACCAAGUCAUUCUGUUAGAAGAUCUUUAUUUGAGCAGUACGUAAAGACACGCGCUGAGGAAGAACGUAGGGAAAAGCGUGCUGCUCAUAAGGCAGCUAUUGAAGGUUUCAGGCAGUUGCUGGAUGAAGCGUCUACGGUAAUCUUUUUAAUAAACUGAAUGUAUUUUUACAUUGAGCUACCUAACGUCUUUAAACAUUUCUAUAAUUUGGUUUGGGAUGUUCUCAACUUCUAUAUCUCUUGGGGGAAUUUAUUAUCAUCGUGAUUUUUGCAGGACAUCCAUCAACACACUGAUUAUCGUGCUUUUAAAAAGAAAUGGGGGAAUGAUCUCCGGUUCGAAGCACUUGAGCGGAAGGAGCGGGAGGCUUUGCUGAAUGAAAGGUACCAUUCUAGAUCUUGGAUCAUAUUCUAUGUAUGUUAAAAAGUUUGCUUAUAGCCUUAAAGUUUACACUGGAUGUGUUUUUCCUUGUUACUUUGUGAUGUUUUGGUUGUAGACCUCACUGUCAUUUCUUAAGACUGAAUGUUUUUUUAAAACAUUUUUACUUUCUUAGUGUAAUUGCGUGUAACUGCCGUGUAAAAGUUUUUCCCUGUACAAGAUUGAUAUGCGCUUUAGGAUAUUUUUUCUUCAUGUGGGUUUUGAGUGUCUUAUAGUUAUUCACUAUUUUGGCUCUUAUAUUUUCCCUGUUUCUGUUGCAGGGUCCUUUCUUUGAAACGAACUGCUGAACAAAAGGCGCAAGAAAUUCGCGCAGCUGCUGCCUCUGAUUUCAAGACAAUGCUACACGAAAGAGAAGUAUCAUUGAAUUCACAUUGGUCCAAGGUAGGUAGCAUAUUUGUUUCUAUCCUUUGCGAACAAGAGAGAUAGAGUAGGUAAAAGUUAUAAAGUUUUCAGGUACUUAUGCUGUUAAUAUCACUUAUCAAAGUUACAAGUAUUAAUUUUAUGUGUCUUAUCUCUUAUCAAAUACAUCCUUUGAUUGCACAAUUUAAAACUUGGGAAGAAUAUUACUACGACCUAUAUAAUAUUUUUCUCCCCUGUUUUAUUAGGUGAAGGAUAGUCUGAGAAAUGAACCACGAUAUAGAUCUGUUGCACACGAGGACAGGGAGUUUUUUUAUUAUGAGUACAUUGCAGAACUAAAAGCUGCACAAAGGGGAGAUGAUCAUGAGAUGAAAGCCAGAGACGAAGCGGUAAAUUAACUUAAUAUAUUCACAAUUCCACAAUGUUCAAGCAGCCCUCUUCUGCUUGCUUUUUAAAGUGAGGAUAUUCACGUAUUCCCUGUUUGCUGGCAUGUUAAUACUUGCUUGUUUGUUCUAGUUUGAGACACAUUUUGGAAAAAAUUAUUAUCAUCAGAUUCUCUGCAUGUAUGCUAGUAGUGCAGGAAGAAACAAGUUGCUAAUUAGCGAAUGUUUUAGUUUGGGAUUAUUUAUUUGCAGAUACAAAAAAUUUGGAUCUCAUUUGUUUCUGUUUUAAUGAUUUUCUGGCCAUAAAUGCUUGAAACUAUAUAGACUCAUAUGUGUAUACAUCUUUCUGAUUCCUGAAUUUGGGUUCAGGACAAACUGAGGGAACGGGAGCGUGAGUUGCGGAAACGCAAAGAAAGAGAAGUGCAAGAGGUGGAAAGAGUACGACAAAAAAUUAGAAGGAAAGAGGCAAGCUCCUCUUAUCAAGCUUUGUUAGUGGAAAAAAUCAGAGACCCUGAGGUAUUUCUACUUCUUUUAUGUAGCUAGCUAAAGACUUUCAUUUGGGCUAAAGACGCAGGAGUUAGUUUGUAGUUUUUUUACUCUGUGGGGAUUCUGAUUGUCAAUCUUUCUUUGCUACCUUCUUCAAUAUCUGAAGGCAUCCUGGACGGAAUCUAAGCCAAAACUUGAGAGGGAUCCUCAAAAACGGGCCUCUAAUCCAGACUUGGAUCCUGCUGAUAAAGAGAAGCUAUUCCGAGACCACAUAAAGACAUUAUAUGAGGUACGUGUACUGCUCAUCUGUAAACCUUACCAAAUCAAACUCUCAGCAUUUUCUGCAACAAGAUCAGAACAAAACUUAGUUUUGAGGACCUUUUUCGGCUUAUCUCCUCUUUGGUCGAUUUGAGGAAGGAAAUAUACUUUGUUACCUAUUUCAUCUAAUUAUUUUUCUUAUUGUGCUUCACAGCGAUGUGUUCAUGACUUCAAAGCUCUUCUAGUUGAAGCCUUGUCAUCUGAAGCUGCUUCUCAACAAACAGAAGACGGAAAGACUGUGCUUGAUUCUUGGUCAGCAGCUAAACAAGUACUGAAACCCGAUAUCAGGUACAGCAAGAUGCCAAGGAGAGAUAGGGAAGUCUUAUGGCGCCGAUAUGCUGAGGAUAUCUGGAGGAAACAGAAACAAGAAAACUAUCAGGAGGAGAAACAAAGAGAUUAUAAGACAUAAAAAUCCUGAACCGAUAGGCUCUACGCCAUCCAUGGCUUCAUAUGUUGUGAAAAAAGAUCAUCAUGUCUUGUUGGUUUUUGUACUGUUUGAUUUUUGUUCUGGCUAACUAAAAACCAAUAUAGUUUGUUUGAUGUUUCUACGUUAAUUUUUCUGAACAGUAUUGCUUUAGUCAAAAUAUGUGAUUUGGUAAUAUCUUAAGGUUUUUGUUUUUUGCUUUGUCCCAAAAAUUUAAGGUUUGGAGAUGGAUGAAGAUUUAAAACGUUGUUGAGAGACAUGUCAAGAUUUGCCGGGGUCACCGGAUAAAAAAUAAAGAUUUACUUGACCGUUCUCUGAAAAUUAUUGGAAAUAUCAAUCAAACAUUUAUACGUAGUUCGAUCUAUUUGGUAAAACUUUUAUUUUCGUGCGAACAAAGAUAUAAGAUUCUAUGUAGUACAUUUUGGUGAAUUGUGCAAAGUGGGGAAUGUUAGGAUAUGACAAUUUUCAGUCUACGUUUGUGGUUUAAUCUUAAUAUCCAUGAAUAAAUCUCAUUUUCAAGAAUAUCAAAUCUGAAGGGGCAUGUGACGUAUAUAGCCAAGAAAAUAUUUUCUCCCGUGAUUUGGUUUUGAAUUGUUUUGUAUACAAUGCUCAAUGCAUUCAAAGGCCAACUUGUUGAUUUAAUAGAUUCUUUCGAUUAGCAUUUUUAUUUUUUCUUUUCUACAGAACCAGAAAAUCCAAAUUUGAAGUGUUUCCUAUAAUAUUCGAAAUCUGUACUUGUUAUGUGAAGAACUUGCAGUGACUAAGGAAAUAUGCGUAUAACAAAAACUGGUCUUUUUCUUCUACAUCCACUGAGCGAAUGCCUCGAAUCAAAGAGCAACUAUAGAAACAUAACCUUGUUAAAACAAUUUGGACGUGUAUAACCCGUGAUUAUUCAAAUUACAAAAUAUCCAUUUUAUUUGCAUCCACAAGGUCGGACAUCCUUAUAUGCAUUCUCGAAACUACGUGAAAUAUAUUUUGCAUGAAUAAGCUUAUAAUAUACACGAGACGUGCAUGUGUGUGAUGAUGAUAUGAUGAUAUUCCAAUCUAUAUCUAGAGAAAUAAGAAAAAAAAUGACGAGUGAAUUAAUUAACAAAGCCUUGGAAAACUAGAACUUGACACUACUUCACUCUUCUUUUCCUUACAAUUUUUUCCAGAACUAUUCCAUUGCUUCCUCUCCAAAUUCAUCUUUAGGUCAUCUUCAAACUUCUCCGACAUCCCAAAACCUUUCAAAUGCACCAGUAUUGGUUUCUCUUCUAAGUACUUACGCGAAUUCCAGAUCUUGUUUACUCUCUUCUUGUCCUCUCUUGAGUGUGGUUGAGUCUCGUUUGACAAUUGUUGUGACUUGAGUGCUUGAACUGCAAUAUUAGGAGGGAUCUUGGGAUUUUGCGCAAGUUGUUUGCAUGUUUCCAAUGUCAAUUUCUUGUAGUUUAGACAUCGACAUAGUUUUGUUCUAUCCUCGGAUGAUAGUUUCGGAUGAGACUACAAAAUCAUAAAUAGUUAAUAUUAGUUAAUGCCUACAAAAUAUAUUGACUACAAAACCAUUAUAUAUUGAUUUUUCUUUUCUUUGAAAGGUCACAUUAGCUUAUAUUGAACAUAUCUAGUUUUCACGUGAAACUAAUCUUGUUCUUAUUAUUAAGAGACUUCUUAAUAAUAAUUAAUUAGUUAAACAAAAGACAGAGUAGUUAGAACUUAGAAUCUGAUGACAUGAAUAUCCAGUAACCAGGGCAAUAUAUAACACAGUAAUUAGUACGCUAUUGUAUAGUUUUUAAUUUUCUAUAAACACAUAAUUAAAACGUUAACUAAUGUUUUAGUAAACAUAAUUAUUCGAAAAUUGCAAACGCAAACGUACAAACCAAUCAAAACGUUUGUGUCGUUAAAACAAUAUUCAAGUGAAUGUUUGAUAAAACGUUAAAAGUACUGUUUUGCUUUUAAAAUGCAGACAAAAUAUCUUUAACUAGUAGAACACAGAAAUCCAAGGGUAAAUGAUUUGCGUUUGAAAGUUUCUAUAUAAUUCCACUUUUAAGAAAAUUAUUAACGACUUUGCCACCAAAGUCACCACUAGUACUUCCACGUGUAUGAAAAGUAUGCACAUAUAUUUGCAAUCUCAGAUUUUCGAAUCUUUAGAUAUCACAAAAUAAAAGAAAGACAAAAAGAUAAGUUAAACUCUUUCAUCAAUUCUCUUGAGAAAGCCAAACUAUAUUAUAGAAACUUGUAUACUUGUUGUCAUCUUCUAUUUCACUUUACUUAGCUUGGUUGUUUUUGUCUCAUUUUGCUCAAUAUCUUUUUUUCCAUAUAUCUCAUGAACGUGCAAUUAUUUCGAAAAACUUCUGUUAAUAAAAAAAAAAAACAAGAAAAAUCAGAAAUGUAAUGAGUGAAAAAACUGACCUCAAGAUAGAUAUCAAUGGCUCUGUAUAAUCCAUCAAACCAAUCUCUAGCUGAAUCUGGCAAACUCUCUGCAACUUCAAGAAACUUUGACUCUUUAAGAUUCUGGUCUGGAGAUAUCUCUCUCAGAUACUUAUCAAUCAACUUCCCAAUUCUUCUCAUUUUCAAAUUCUGUUCUUCUUCUGUGUUUCCAGUUCUCACGAACACUUUGAGUAAUCUUAUCACCAAAUCCACAUCGUAAAACCCUUUUUCUUUUUUUCCUCCUGCUGGAAUCAGAAGAUCAUCAAGUGUUGCUUGAUCCAGCAUUUCUCCUAUAACUCUCUCUAAACCAAUUCUUGAUUCUUUACUGAUGCUAAAUCCCGAUAAAACGCGAAGAACCCAGAACAUUUUUCUGCAGGAAAAAGCGGUUUUCGCCGCGAAAACCACUCCUCGAACCGCUGUAUCAGCUAAACCUGCAUACUCGAGCUUGUUGUUUGAUUUGUUUUGGACCUUUGUCUUGAGGUAAUGGAGGAGAAAUCUUGUGAGGACCAAGCUGUCAUUGUUCUUAUCAUGCGCACCAAGUGUUUUCAUCACCUUUUCGAUGAUUUUUGGCCCGAGAAUUGACAUAUCAUCGAACCACCACUCGUUACUUGUCCUGCAAGAAAGCGACCUUGAAGUAGACCGUUUGUCAGAAUCAGACCUAUUCCUUGCCGUCUCCGGCGAAUGAGAGGAGGCAGAGGCAGAGGAAGACGGAGAGGAUGAUGAAAAGACAUGACUCAUGUCUGAAUUCUGAGCGAUUUUGGCUAAAACCCCGAAAACAAGCUUAUCAACAAGACCGUAAGAAUCUGCGUGUAGGAACACUUGUUCGCAGCUCUUGAGACACAAAACGAUGUCAUUCCAUGACCAGUAGAACAUACCUUCUAAAAACUUGUCUGUUUGAAGCAAAAGAUUCGAGGAACAGAGUUUCUCUGUCAUCUCAAGGAAGACAGAAGAACAAUGCAAAAUGGAGACAUUUGAGACAUCGAUCGAGAUUCCUCCGCCAUUACCGUAACAGAAUCUUGAAACCAAGUCGAACCCAUCUGACCCACCUGGAAAAUCUUCGACUUCGAUAAUGAUUCUACUGUUCUUGUGAUUCUUCUUCUUCUUAUUGCUCUGUUUUAUCAUCUUCCUCAAGAACCCUGAGUACUCUGAAAUCAAAUCCUAACCCAAGAAACAGAGUUUAGUUCAGAUAAUGGAAACAGAGGAAAUUAGGUUUGAAUUAGAGUGGAGAUUUGGUUUGGUUUAUUACCUGAUUGACGAAGAAAGUGAAUUGGUUAUUGAGAUUGAUUUGAAGAUCACAGAGAAGAGACAUUGUAUCAACUUCUUUUGCAUUUGAUGAAGAUGAAAACUUCUUGUGAGCUUUCUUGUUCUGCUUCCUUUUGGAUUGGAGAGAGAGAGAGAGAGAGAGUGAGAGAGCAAUAAUAGUUAUCACAUGGAACCGGCUAUUUAUAUAUCUUUUUUUCGGCGUCUUUAUUUCAAUAUCUCUAAUACACAUUUUCUUCCUUUAUAACUCUCAUAUAAAUUUUAUGCAAAAAAAAUUUAUACACAAACAUAGAAGUAUAUUGGUCCCGUGGACCAACAUCUAACCCUAAUAGAAGUAGAACGUCUAAAAACGUGAAACUGUAAUAAUUUAGUGCCGUUCCACUUUGUAAGAAAUUUCUUUCUAUUUUUUAAUUGGUUUAGUACAUUCAUUAUUGUUCAGUUUUUUUUUUUUUUUUUUUUUUUUUUUUUGAAAUGAUAAGAUUCAUUCUUAUUCGAAAUGUAUUUAUUAUAUGCUAUUAAGUUCGGAGUUCAAACUAGCAAUUAGCUUGACAUCG
rnacentral:lncRNA from 1 species